rnacentral:rRNA from 1 species
CCUACGGGGGGCAGCAGUGAGGAAUAUUGGUCAAUGGGCGCGAGCCUGAACCAGCCAAGUAGCGUGAAGGAUGACUGCCCUACGGGUUGUAAACUUCUUUUAUAAAGGAAUAAAGUGAGGCACGUGUGCCUUUUUGUAUGUACUUUAUGAAUAAGGAUCGGCUAACUCCGUGCCAGCAGCCGCGGUAAUACGGAGGAUCCGAGCGUUAUCCGGAUUUAUUGGGUUUAAAGGGAGCGUAGAUGGGUUUUUAAGUCAGUUGUGAAAGUUUGCGGCUCAACCGUAAAAUUGCAAUUGAUACUGGCAGCCUUACGUACAGUUGAGGUAGGCGGAAUUCGUGGUGUAGCGGUGAAAUGCUUAGAUAUCACGAAGAAUGCCGAUUGCGAAGGCAGCCUACUAACCUGCCACUGACAUUGAUGCUCGAAAGUGUGGGUAUCAAACAGGAUUAGAUCCCCGAGUAGUC